rnacentral:rRNA from 1 species
GAUGAACGCUGGCGGCGUGCCUAAUACAUGCAAGUCGAGCGAACAGAUGAGGAGCUUGCUCCUCUGACGUUAGCGGCGGACGGGUGAGUAACACGUGGAUAACCUACCUAUAAGACUGGGAUAACUUCGGGAAACCGGAGCUAAUACCGGAUAAUAUAUUGAACCGCAUGGUUCAAUAGUGAAAGACGGUUUUGCUGUCACUUAUAGAUGGAUCCGCGCCGCAUUAGCUAGUUGGUAAGGUAACGGCUUACCAAGGCAACGAUGCGUAGCCGACCUGAGAGGGUGAUCGGCCACACUGGAACUGAGACACGGUCCAGACUCCUACGGGAGGCAGCAGUAGGGAAUCUUCCGCAAUGGGCGAAAGCUUGACGGAGCAACGCCGCGUGAGUGAUGAAGUUCUUCGGAUCGUAAAACUCUGUUAUUAGGGAAGAACAAAUGUGUAAGUAACUAUGCACGUCUUGACGGUACCUAAUCAGAAAGCCACGGCUAACUACGUG